rnacentral:lncRNA from 1 species
AGUGUUAGUGAGAAUAACAUGGGGGGAGGAGGAAGCAUUUACGGAGAGCCUCGCUAAUGCCUGGAAACAGCUGAAUGUCACAUAUUCUCUCAUCCACCUCUCACUAGCUCUGUGAACUUGGUCAGGUGACAGAUGGCAACCUGGGGCAAGGAGGUGGCUUGGCGUUGAGGUUCCAGCUUAACCACAUUCACAAAGAGGAGCUAGUGAGAAAUGUGAGAUCGCCAAAAAUCAAGAAAAGUAAAACAUAGUGAAUGUUAGGUGAUGAUAAAUGCUAAGGAGAAGAUAAAACAGGCUCCCAGUAGCAAGAGAUCUAGUUCUCCAAACAGAUGCAUCUUCUUUGUGUUUCCUACCACAUCCAGCCCUGGACAGUCCCACUCGGGAAGUUUCCACCACCUACAACCUCUCGGACGGUGUGAGCCUGCCAUCUGAGGACUCUUCGCUCAGAAACAGUUAAUUAAAUGAGGAUCCACAGUUGGAGAGUACAUCUUAAUCUCAUUCUGCCUCGUCUGCGUUCUCCUGUUCUUUUUUGCGGGCUGCCUUCUGUCCUGAGGAAGAGGGCUACAAAUGACCUGCUUCAGGACCAAAUAACAAUUUAGCAGAGUGGAGAUUCAUUAAGACAGCGCUGAUGGCGACUGAAGUCUCUGGAACAGAGAAACAGCCCAGAGGAUUUCCAUUCUCUACUAGUUUUCUGACCUCAAUUUACAAGGCAGAAUUAAGUUCUGGAAACUCAGAACAGAACAAAAUAAUGGAACUACUAGCUUUUAAUCACUGGUAGAAUCAUGAGGAUUGCGUGGACCUCUAACCUUGUCAUUUAGUUCUCUCUUUUAAAGGGAAGUUUCUAGGGGCUGGCCCCGUGGCCGAGUGGUUAAGUUCGCGCGCUCCGCUGCAGGCGGCCCAGUGUUUCGUCGGUUCGAAUCCUGGGCACGGACAUGGCACUGCUCGUCAGACCACGCUGAGGCAGCAUCCCACAUGCCACAACUAGAAGAACCCACAACGAAGAGUACACAACUAUGUACCGGGGGGCUUUGGGGAGAAAAAGGAAAAAAUAAAAUCUUUAUAAAAAAA